UCGGUCGCGCGUCCGGAGCGGAUCCAACGGUACGUGGGAAGUACGGCGGGGGCGAGUUCGAGUUUGCUUUCGUUGAUACUGAUAUCUGACGUCAGAUGUAAAACAACAACAACAAGAACAACAACAAGAACAACAAGACAACCGCCGGUCUCUCCGGUCAGACCGCGCCGGCUGUUGGAGAACCCAGCGGAUCCUCCGGCGCUCCGCACGCGUGCGUGUGUGUGCGUGUGCGUGCGUGCGUGUGUGCGUGUGACAGAGAGUGAGGGGAGAGAGAGUCGGUCAGACGGAGCAGAGGUUGGACCGCCGUCCUCGUCUCAGACUUUCAGUAUAAAAGCAGCCAAAGUCUCACCAAGUCCCGCUCCAACCGGAACCAAGCCCACCUGACGAGGAAGACCAACCGGAACCGAGCCCACCUCCCAGCACCCCCACCUGACGAGGAAGACCAACAGGAACCGAGCCCACCUCCCAGCACCCCCACCUGACGAGGAAGAGGAGGAGAAAGAGCUGGCGGGCCCACAUCGAGUUGCCGUGAGGGGGAAGUGGAGGACUUGAGGGAGGUGUGUUUGUGUUGUACAGAUCGGCCACUUCUUUUUCCCCCUUUAAGACUCCGCCGUUGUCCCCCCUGUUGAGACAAGCGGCCGCACCUCGGGAACAGACUGCUCGGAGGUUCGGGGAGGUGCAGGGAGGUGCAGGGGGGUGGAGGAGGACGGGGUGUCGGCGAGACAUUUUGGGAAACAUUGCCUCGAGGAAGCGAGUGAUGCUCUUCUGAAAAGGAAGGAAGGAAGGAAGGAAGGAAGGAAGGAAGGAAGGAAGGAAGGAAGGAAGGAAGGAAGCUAAACCGGGACCACGGAGGCCUGCGGUCUCAGCGAACAGUGUCGUGUGUAGCUGUGCGGCUCUGAACGCAACUCUGAUGCUUCAUCUCCAUCCUGCCGUCUUCAUCACCGCUACCCACCCAGCACAGAAACAGAACAGAGAAGAAGAAGGAGAAGGAGAAGGAGACCUUCCACAUCCCUGCUACACCGCCGAAUAAGUUGGU